GGGGGCGACUGGCUUCGACCGGGCAGGUUGAGGGCUGAGUGGCGCGCCGAGGUUGUCGGGAGGCCUCGUAAAUCACCCGGCAAAUGCUUUACAUGCCAACAAUGGCUACCGUCUGGCUGCCUAGAAAUAGGUAACCCGUUGACCCCGCGACGCCUGCUGGCGGGAGUUCAGCGACGACAAGCGGGCUGGCCUGCGCCUUGUAGUCACGUGGAGCGCGGGCGAGACAAAACGGGACUCGGAACCCGGAUGCCCUGUCGAUCGGGCUGCCGGCGACCUAAACUGAAAUAGAUCGAACACGCGCGUAGAGGCUUAGUCUGAAAUGCUUCGGGACGGGGGUUCGAUUCCCCCCGCCUCCAUGA
rnacentral:tmRNA from 1 species